rnacentral:rRNA from 1 species
CCUACGGGAGGCAGCAGUGGGGAAUUUUGGACAAUGGGCGCAAGCCUGAUCCAGCCAUGCCGCGUGCGGGAAGAAGGCCUUCGGGUUGUAAACCGCUUUUGUCGGGGAAGAAAUACUCUGGACUAAUACUCUGGGGUGAUGACGGUACCUGAAGAAUAAGCACCGGCUAACUACGUGCCAGCAGCCGCGGUAAUACGUAGGGUGCGAGCGUUAAUCGGAAUUACUGGGCGUAAAGCGUGCGCAGGCGGUUGUGUAAGACAGAUGUGAAAUCCCCGGGCUCAACCUGGGAAUGGCAUUUGUGACUGCACAGCUAGAGUACGGUAGAGGGGGAUGGAAUUCCGCGUGUAGCAGUGAAAUGCGUAGAUAUGCGGAGGAACACCGAUGGCGAAGGCAGUCCCCUGGACCUGUACUGACGCUCAUGCACGAAAGCGUGGGGAGCAAACAGGAUUAGAUACCCUGGUAGUCCACGCCCUAAACGAUGUCAACUGGUUGUUGGGAAGGGUUUCUUNUCAGUAACGAAGCUAACGCGUGAAGUUGACCGCCUGGGGAAGUCGGGCCGCAAAGGUUUGAAACCUNAAAGUUAGUAGCGNGNGNGAGAGCGACGACGACGACGAGGAGGAGGAG